CACCAGCAAGAAUAAGAAGUAUUGGCAGCAGUAAGCAGGCGGGCAGGCUGGGAUUUUGCAUGGAAAUCAUGAGCCCUGCCUUGCUUUUCUUUUCUGAAAUGUUUUGGAAGGAGAGUUAUGAAUAGCCCAGAAAUAGGUCUCAUUUUUGUGGGUGGGAAGAAUGACCAGAAGCAUGAAAGCUAAACCUUCCAGCAAGUGCAAGUUAUUUCUCGUGGAGGGUGCAGUAAACCUGGGAGGAGGAAUUGCCUUCUGUGAACUUCUAAAGCAUCACAUCUGGAGUGAAGAGGACGGUAAAGCGGUGGCAUAGCGCAGAGGAUGCUGCUGAGAGCUUCGGUCUGCCUUUAACUCAUUGUGGCAAAGUUGGACAUCCCAAAGAUGGCGUAGAUGAACAUGACCAGGAAAAGCAGGAGGCCAAUGUUGAACAGCGCGGGAAGGGACAUCAUCAGAGCGAAGAGCAGGGUGCGGAUGCCCUUGGCGCCUUUGAUCAAGCGUAGGAUUCGGCCAAUCCUGGCCAAGCGGAUGACUCGGAAAAGGAUAUGAAGCAGUGAGUAUUUCAAAGAAUAACGAUGAUGAUAUUGCUGUGAAUGGAGAAUGCAUCACAGAGAAACCUGUCUUCAUCCAAGUGAAGAGACAAGUGUUCCAUCUGAAGAGCAGCAUCAGGUAUACGGAAAGCCCAGCUGUGCAUCACAGAAGCGGCGCACCUUCUGCAUAUCCGGCCUCAGUGACAGAGUGCUGCUGUCUACCAGCUACACCAUCGUGUACUUCUAAAAGUAAACGUUCCUUUAAAAACUGUAGUUUUUUUAAAAAAAUACCAUAAACAAAAUUGGCAUCGAUUUUAUAAACGGUUAGUAUGUCUUCCAUAACAUCAAACUCCAUAGUUUGUCUAGCAUCUUGUAGUGAAUGAUUAGCAUAACUAAUUAUCAAGACAGUUAGCUGUCUUGAUAAUGUCAUACAUGGAAAUCAGAUAAAAGUCUCCUUUAAAUUACACUUUUAAAAAGAAACCCCAUUUACUUUAAAUUGUAAGAAGGAAAACACUAGUUUAAAUACAUGAAAAUGACCAAAACAGAAAGAAAAAGAUAUAUUUUUCCAGUGCACAGGGAAAGGGGAUAGAAAAGAGCAUACUUCUAGACAGAAGAGACUCCCCCUCCCCCAACACCGACUCACUUUCAGAAAAUCCCAUCAUUUGUGUAAAAGCAUAUGUUAAUUUGGUCUUUAUCUUUUCUAAAUUAGCUUUGAAAAAAAAAUUCCCCAAGCUUCGUUGUAGAAAAAAAUUGCCAUUGUAUUCGGAUUAUUUACUAUGGAUGUUAAACUCAAGAAAACAAAACAAAGCAAACAAACAAAAAUGUGUAAAACUUUUUGCUAUGAUUACAAAAGCUGGCAUUGAUUUUGUUUGUUUGAUUGUUUGAUAAUCUUGUUUGGAUCACACUGUUGUACUACAUACAUACUCGAAAUAUAACGUACUAAGUUCCACGAUACAGUGCUGAUUGGCCUGAAAAAAUAAGAUGUUGAGAAAGGGGCUGAUCCGUUUAUCUGUCUGUGAGUGCUUUCCCGGGAUGCGUAGCCUUUCUGGUCUCUCCCAGGUAAAUCAGCUAAUCUGCGUUUGCGUGCUCAUCUUUGCAGACACAGCUGUAGGGCAUAUGCCUUUUCUCUAGUCAAGAAGUAUGAGCUGGCCCUGGUACUGAGACCCACGUAAUAACUCUACCGGAGCAGCCGGAGAGAAAAAGAUUGUUAAGCAUUGCUAGCUACCUUUUCUUUGCACAUUACCAGAACUGGUAGGAUGAGAAGCUGCAGGGGUGUGUAUGGGAGGGGGCAGCUUUCCGGUUGAAGUAGUUGGAUCUCUUUCUCCGCUGAUCACCCACCCACUUUUAAACCCUGGUGGCGCAAUACUUGGUGGCUAAAUCCGAGUUACGUGAAAAUAGACACAGGUGGGUGUGGCAGUUGAGGGGAGCACAAGGAAGAAGACCCUUAGGUCCCCAUUCUGCAACA